GGGUUGUGAGGUUAAGCGACUAAGCGUACACGGUGGAUGCCCUGGCAGUCAGAGGCGAUGAAGGACGUGCUAAUCUGCGAAAAGCGUCGGUAAGGUGAUAUGAACCGUUAUAACCGGCGAUGUCCGAAUGGGGAAACCCAGUGCAAUUCGUUGCACUAUCGUUAACUGAAUACAUAGGUUAACGAGGCGAACCGGGGGAACUGAAACAUCUAAGUACCCCGAGGAAAAGAAAUCAACCGAGAUUCCCCCAGUAGCGGCGAGCGAACGGGGAGCAGCCCAGAGUCUGAAUCAGCUUGUGUGUUAGUGGAACGGUCUGGAAAGUCCGACGGUACAGGGUGAUAGUCCCGUACACCAAAAUGCACAGGUUGUGAACUCGAAGAGUAGGGCGGGACACGUGGUAUCCUGUCUGAAUAUGGGGGGACCAUCCUCCAAGGCUAAAUACUCCUGACUGACCGAUAGUGAACCAGUACCGUGAGGGAAAGGCGAAAAGAACCCCGGCGAGGGGAGUGAAAAAGAACCUGAAACCGUGUACGUACAAGCAGUGGGAGCACCUUCGGGUGUGACUGCGUACCUUUUGUAUAAUGGGUCAGCGACUUAUAUUCUGUAGCAAGGUUAACCGUAUAGGGGAGCCGCAGGGAAACCGAGUCUUAACUGGGCGUUAAGUUGCAGGGUAUAGACCCGAAACCCGGUGAUCUAGCCAUGGGCAGGUUGAAGGUUGGGUAACACUAACUGGAGGACCGAACCGACUAAUGUUGAAAAAUUAGCGGAUGACUUGUGGCUGGGGGUGAAAGGCCAAUCAAACCGGGAGAUAGCUGGUUCUCCCCGAAAGCUAUUUAGGUAGCGCCUCGUGAACUCAUCUUCGGGGGUAGAGCACUGUUUCGGCUAGGGGGUCAUCCCGACUUACCAACCCGAUGCAAACUACGAAUACCGAAGAAUGUUAUCACGGGAGACACACGGCGGGUGCUAACGUCCGUCGUGAAGAGGGAAACAACCCAGACCGCCAGCUAAGGUCCCAAAGUCAUGGUUAAGUGGGAAACGAUGUGGGAAGGCACAGACAGCCAGGAUGUUGGCUUAGAAGCAGCCAUCAUUUAAAGAAAGCGUAAUAGCUCACUGGUCGAGUCGGCCUGCGCGGAAGAUGUAACGGGGCUAAACCAUGCACCGAAGCUGCGGCAGCGACACUAUGUGUUGUUGGGUAGGGGAGCGUUCUGUAAGCCUGCGAAGGUGUGCUGUGAGGCAUGCUGGAGGUAUCAGAAGUGCGAAUGCUGACAUAAGUAACGAUAAAGCGGGUGAAAAGCCCGCUCGCCGGAAGACCAAGGGUUCCUGUCCAACGUUAAUCGGGGCAGGGUGAGUCGACCCCUAAGGCGAGGCCGAAAGGCGUAGUCGAUGGGAAACAGGUUAAUAUUCCUGUACUUGGUGUUACUGCGAAGGGGGGACGGAGAAGGCUAUGUUAGCCGGGCGACGGUUGUCCCGGUUUAAGCAUGUAGGCUGGUUGUCCAGGCAAAUCCGGAUAAUCAAGGCUGAGGUGUGAUGACGAGGCACUACGGUGCUGAAGUAACAAAUGCCCUGCUUCCAGGAAAAGCCUCUAAGCAUCAGGUAACAUCAAAUCGUACCCCAAACCGACACAGGUGGUCAGGUAGAGAAUACCAAGGCGCUUGAGAGAACUCGGGUGAAGGAACUAGGCAAAAUGGUGCCGUAACUUCGGGAGAAGGCACGCUGGUGUGUAGGUGAAGUCCCUGCGGAUGGAGCUGAGACCAGUCGAAGAUACCAGCUGGCUGCAACUGUUUAUUAAAAACACAGCACUGUGCAAACACGAAAGUGGACGUAUACGGUGUGACGCCUGCCCGGUGCCGGAAGGUUAAUUGAUGGGGUUAUCCGUAAGGAGAAGCUCUUGAUCGAAGCCCCGGUAAACGGCGGCCGUAACUAUAACGGUCCUAAGGUAGCGAAAUUCCUUGUCGGGUAAGUUCCGACCUGCACGAAUGGCGUAAUGAUGGCCAGGCUGUCUCCACCCGAGACUCAGUGAAAUUGAACUCGCUGUGAAGAUGCAGUGUACCCGCGGCAAGACGGAAAGACCCCGUGAACCUUUACUAUAGCUUGACACUGAACAUUGAGCCUUGAUGUGUAGGAUAGGUGGGAGGCUUUGAAGCGUGGACGCCAGUCUGCGUGGAGCCAACCUUGAAAUACCACCCUUUAAUGUUUGAUGUUCUAACGUUGGCCCCUGACCGGGGUUGCGGACAGUGUCUGGUGGGUAGUUUGACUGGGGCGGUCUCCUCCCAAAGCGUAACGGAGGAGCACGAAGGUUAGCUAAUCCUGGUCGGACAUCAGGAGGUUAGUGCAAUGGCAUAAGCUAGCUUGACUGCGAGCGUGACGGCGCGAGCAGGUGCGAAAGCAGGUCAUAGUGAUCCGGUGGUUCUGAAUGGAAGGGCCAUCGCUCAACGGAUAAAAGGUACUCCGGGGAUAACAGGCUGAUACCGCCCAAGAGUUCAUAUCGACGGCGGUGUUUGGCACCUCGAUGUCGGCUCAUCACAUCCUGGGGCUGAAGUAGGUCCCAAGGGUAUGGCUGUUCGCCAUUUAAAGUGGUACGCGAGCUGGGUUUAGAACGUCGUGAGACAGUUCGGUCCCUAUCUGCCGUGGGCGCUGGAGAAUUGAGGGGGGCUGCUCCUAGUACGAGAGGACCGGAGUGGACGCAUCACUGGUGUUCGGGUUGUCAUGCCAAUGGCACUGCCCGGUAGCUAAAUGCGGAAGAGAUAAGUGCUGAAAGCAUCUAAGCACGAAACUUGCCCCGAGAUGAGUUCUCCCUGAGACUUUAAGUCUCCUGAAGGAACGUUGAAGACGACGACGUUGAUAGG
rnacentral:rRNA from 1 species